UAGUUGCUCAUCCGGGUUUCUACCCGGUGCACUCUUCUACGGGCAGGCCAGCAUCAGUUUGGGCGGUUGGAUAAAGGUCUCUGUCAUGUACCUCUCUUCGGGGAGAACUUAUAGGGGAGACGACAUGCAACCAGCCUGGACUGAGGUCCGCGCAUCUGCUAGGAUGCUGGCGUAAUGGCUGUAAGCGGCCCGUCUUGAAACACGGACCAAGGAGUCACACGGACCAAGGAGUCAAGUUAGGCC
rnacentral:rRNA from 1 species